rnacentral:rRNA from 1 species
AUUGAACGCUGGCGGAAUGCUUUACACAUGCAAGUCGAACGGCAGCACGGGGCAACCUGGUGGCGAGUGGCGAACGGGUGAGUAAUACAUCGGAACGUGCCCAGUCGUGGGGGAUAACGUAGCGAAAGCUACGCUAAUACCGCAUACGAUCUACGGAUGAAAGCGGGGGAUCGCAAGACCUCGCGCGAUUGGCGCGGCCGAUGGCAGAUUAGGUAGUUGGUGGGGUAAAGGCCUACCAAGCCGACGAUCUGUAGCUGGUCUGAGAGGACGACCAGCAACACUGGGACUGAGACACGGCCCAGACUCCUACGGGAGGCAGCAGUGGGGAAUUUUGGACAAUGGGCGCAAGCCUGAUCCAGCCAUUCCGCGUGCAGGAUGAAGGCCUUCGGGUUGUAAACUGCUUUUGUACGGAACGAAAAGGCUCUGGUUAAUACCCGGGGCUCAUGACGGUACCGUAAGAAUAAGCACCGGCUAACUACGUGCCAGCCGCCGCUGUAACAC